UGUGAAUAAGGAGUUGACUUGUCCUCUUAAUUAUAAUUAUUAGUUUGUUUCUAGAAUAAGGAAAACAAAUCAAAUAUUGAUUUGUUCUCAUUAAAUGUAAUUAUUUAGUGUAAUUACCUGUAUAACCUUGUAACCUCUAUAUAUACAAGAAAUAGCAAUGAGAAAGGCAUCAAGCCAAUAAUUCUUGACAUGGUAUCAUUAGGGUUUCGAUCCAAUUUGUGAGUUUUUACGUUAAUCUUGGCUUUAUUCAGCGACACCCCACUGGUUCGCUCUUGAAAUUGUUUCUGCCGUUUCGCUUUUUGUUGUCGCCUUUGCUCUCCGCCGUCGUCGUAAAAUCACAUCCUGGUGUGAUUCGUUUUGUUCACAAUUUCUCGGCUUCGAUUUGGGAUUCUUUUUCGUGCACUCUAAUCGCACACGUCUGUUUUGUUU
rnacentral:lncRNA from 1 species